AGGUGAAAAAGUGAAGCGCUGAAGAGCUGACGCGCCUUGCGCGGGUAUAUGCUUGGGUCUCACAGGGGAAAAGAGGACGACAGACAUCGUGUUAAAACUGAGGCGGUUCGUUAAGAGGUCCUGAAUCACACAGAGAGAACUGCUUUGCUGUAGCUGCACCCUGGAAGGUCGGAAAUAUGGCGCUCUCGUUUAAGAAGGACCUGGAGAAGUACAAAGAGAUUGAUGAGGAUGAGAUCCUCAACAAACUGUCUGAGGAGGAGCUCAAACAGCUGGAGAGUGCCCUGGAGGAGAUGGACCCUGAGAAUGCCUUGCUCCCUGCGGGCUUGAGGCAAAAAGAUCAGACGUCAAAGAGGGCGACCGGGCCAUUUGACCGGGAGAAACUGCUGAAGUUCUUGGAGAAAGAGGCUCUGGAGCACAAAGACAGAGAAGACUAUGUCCCCUUCACCGGAGAGAAGAAAGGAAAGGUGUGGGUACCUAAAAAGCAGCCACUUGAGAUGCGUCAGGAGGAAGCUACGACUCUUGACCCGGAACUAGAAGAGGCCUUGUCCAGUGCUACUGACACGGAGCUGUGUGACCUUGCAGCUAUUCUUGGCGUGAACACACUUGUGACUACCACACAAAUCUAUGAUGGCACCAGUGACAAAGACAGCUACAACAAUGUAAUUAAGGGGGAAAAAGUGAAACCUGUUUUUGAUGAGCCACCCAACCCCACUAAUGUGGAUGAGACGUUGCAAAGAGUAAAGGCCAACGACCCAAUGCUCACUGAAGUCAACCUUAACAACCUUAAGAACAUUCCCAUCCCUACUUUGAGAGACUUUGCCAAAGCCAUGGAGAAGAACACGCACGUGAAGAAGUUCAGUCUGGCAGCCACACGUAGCAACGAUCCCAUUGCAGUGGCUUUUGCGGAUAUGUUGAGGGAAAACGCUGCGCUGAGAAGUUUGAAUCUGGAGUCAAAUUUCAUCACCAGCACUGGAGUGCAAGCGCUUGUUGAGGCCCUUCGGGACAACGACGUGCUCACUGAGAUCAAGAUCGAUAACCAGAGGCAGCAACUGGGUACCUCAGUGGAGAUGGAGAUUGCUAAGAUGCUGGAGGCCAACACCAGUAUAGUGAAGUUUGGAUACCACUUCACUCAGCAGGGACCAAGGGCCCGAGCUGCAGCCGCCAUCACCAAGAACAAUGACCUAGUUAUCUUAACCUGGAUCUCUGCUCAUCCUCUCACUUCAGUAACUCAGCUGUAAAAUGGGCUUGAACUUCAAUGCCAAUGGCGUUGCCUACAUCUUUCUUUCUCUCUCUCUCUCUCACAUGUGGGAAAGAGAUAGCGUAAGGCUACAUCCUUCUUUUUUCCAAGUGCGACAGAGGCGUAUAGAGCGGGAUGUGUAGAAGAUUCUCUCAUUCUCUCUCCUGCUCACUCUCUCCAUCUCUCCUGAUGAUCUCCAGAGUCUUGUGCCAAAUGCCCAGAGGAAGUGAGACGUCAUACCCCGUUCUACCCUCCACAAGGGACACAACUGGAAAUUUUGUCCUCUACACAUUUUAGCUCUCAACCACCUUUUGGUUAUAUUGUUUGUUUGUUUUUAUGUUUAGAAUUUUUACAGCUGUAAAUCUUUUUCUGUAGUCAUUUAAUUUGUCUUUUUGUUUUGUUCUCUUGGCACAAGUGAGAUGUUUUUGUAAAAAAAAAAAUAAUAAUUUUUUUUUGCUUUUUGGCCAUGCUAAAGACCACAGUUGUGUGUUGUAUUCAAUGAGCUCCUUCCCAACACUCCAAACACCAUGUCAGUGAUGGUGUUUAUAACAGGAAUCAAACAAAUGCCAGUCUAGCAACAAUAGAAUAGACAGGAGCUCAGUGGAGACUAAAGGUUUUCUCUGAGGUGUGUGUGUGUGUGUGUGUGUGUGAGAGAGAGAGAGAGUGUUGCAAAGACGUUUAAUAUCAUCUGUGGGCAUGACCACUAGAAAACUGAAAUGGUUGCUUCACAUGCUGGAAGGAGGGGCACACUAGUUGUGCUUUUUGCCCUAACAUGAUUCACUAUAAGACCUUACGUGCGUGUGUGAGAGAGCUGUUUAUGAAGCAGGUUUUAUAGUUGUUCUACAACAGGGGUGCUGAUGUUGAAAUAAACACUGGAAUACACUAUCCACUCCACUUCCAAGACCAAAGGGCAAACUAUUUUUCUUUUUCUCUUUCACACACAUGCACGUACUCUGCUGUGGGCAUCAGUGAUGCAUCAGAGAGGCAGAAAUGAAUAAGAAUCUGUCUUCAGGUGUGUCUCAGUGUCUUUAAAGGGGGUGGGAGGGAGUCUGUCUAAAGAUGCAGGGUGUGAUGGAUGAGUAUCAUGCUAUAUGAGUAUCAUAAAAAAAAGGUUCUAAAAACGCCCCCCAAAUGACUGAUUAAAGGGAAUUAAACUGAUGUUUAAUCUUUGGUUUUAGGCAGUUUUUAGUUUAGCACAGAAGGUGAAGAUGAGAGUUGCAUCGUAGGUUGGGAAAUUUAGGUCUUGUUUGUUCUGUUCUGGUUGGACAUGAACUGUGGCUGGUUCUCCUGUUUCCCAAACAGCACUGAUGCCUAAGAUCGGUUAGUAGGACAUGUGAUGGAACCCUGUAGGGCUUGAGUUUGUGCCUUUAGAUAUCUUAAGUUAAAGCAGUCCCUCAAGGAAGAUGGGGGUGGGGUGGGGGGGCGAGUUUGAUUUUGAUGCAUUUUGCUUUUUAGAACCAGCAGAUGUUUGGUCACACCCUGGGAAUUUUACUUACAGAUGUAGGUGGGUGUUUUUAAACCAGUAACUAUGGAGGUUGGAAGGCUUGACACUUACACAACUUACACAGUGAAAUGUGAACAGAAUGCUCUAUUCACCACUUGUAUGAGAGAAAGAGCAAGCAAGAGAGAGAGAAUGGGACACCAGGAAGUCUCCUGUCCUGUCCCAGAUAUCACUCAAGGUCAGAGAAUGUUUGGGAAAUUGACAGGGUCAUGUGGACUUGAGCUAUGAUAUAGGACUCAUAAUCUUGGCAUGCGUAUUCUGUAUUUAGAGAUCUCAGCAAACCAAGUGCACCUUUUUAUUUAUUUUUAGCUGGUUCACCUAAGGAAGCCUACAUCUAACGCAUACCUUCAGUCUGAAAGGACCAAUCUCAUUUGUUGUGGGUGUCUGUGAUUGUUUUUGUUUGUUUGUUUUGAUGGAGCCUUGUAUGUCAAUCCACAAAUUUGAUGUAACUUUCUCACACACGCACACAGAGGUAAAUGUUGAAUUCUUUCUCAUGUGGUUUUCAUAUUUUGGGUUCUGGCUUGGUCAUGUUUCUCUUGUUGUAUGGAUGGGGUCAGCAUGCCCAUUUUGUGUGCACUUGCACGCAUGUGUGUCUGUGUGCAUGUGGUCCUUUAGUCUAGGAAAACUGCGAUAUUUUAAUAUGUUGAUGAUGAUGAUGAUGAUGAACAUCCAUCUCAAAGCCUCUUUAGAGAUCCCUACACAUAUAACUAUACAUAAAAUAUAUAAAUGUCCUCCACGUGUUCUCAGCAGUGGCGGUGCUGAGGGUGAUCUGGUCCACAAUUAGCUGUUGGUGCAGGUCUGGACCGAAGAAAAGGGUCUGUAAUACUGUACUGCUGUUAAUGGCACAAUGCUGGGGCACUGUCUAUUAUGGUCUUCAAUAAAAAUGUUUUUACAUAC